UUGGUGCAGCUCUAAAUUAGGCCAGUC
rnacentral:piRNA from 1 species